UUUAAAAUCAAAACUUACAGCAAUAAUUCUAUAGCAAUAAAACUAUAAAAGCUACUAUUAUAGCCAACAUAGCUACAGCAAAAUCUCUAUAGAAUUUGUUUUACAGUUACAGCCCAACCAAUCACUCAUUUAGUUCCUUAACUUUAAGUAGUGUAUUUGUAAGAUAGAGAGAAAAAACACCAAUU
rnacentral:sRNA from 1 species